CAUUGAAUGAAGGGUUAUUAUCUAAUCCAGUCAACAUUCUGAAAGUAAAGUUUUGACUGAACUAAUAAAAACGAAUCCAGCCAACACUGAGAUCAUUUCAGACGUGCACGAGCCUGAGUGACUUUGCGUGAGAAACACCACCUUCAAACGCCACCAUCUUGUCAAGUUUACGCAUCAGGUUUUCAGUUGCAAACCAGUCAGUGAUUACCAGACCGGUCCAAUGGAACUACACAAUGUGCGUGUACUUCCAAGACUAAGGUCUCCGUAGUCACCCAGAUCUAGUCUGUAUCCAGAUCAGAUAGUGGAUCAGCACCAAGAGAUGCCCUCGACAGCCCUGAAUGUCAGAGGUUCCAAUGACAACUAGAUGAGUCCCAGAGACAGAUCCCCUCCGAAGACUUCUUUACCUAGAUGGCCAUUGUGACAAGACCACAGGAACCAGACCAGUCCUCUGCACAAUCUGACUUUGCUGCACCAUGCAAUUAAACUGCUGGUUUUGUCUGGCCAGAGAAGAACGAUGUAGUUUUGGU